CCCUACGGGAGGCAGCAGUGGGGAAUAUUGCACAAUGGGCGAAAGCCUGAUGCAGCAACGCCGCGUGAAGGAAGAAGGCCUUCGGGUCGUAAACUUCUGUCCUUGGGGAAGAAGAACUGACGGUACCCAAGGAGGAAGCCCCGGCUAACUACGUGCCAGCAGCCGCGGUAAUACGUAGGGGGCAAGCGUUAUCCGGAAUUAUUGGGUUUAAAGGGUGCGUAGGCGGACUGUUAAGUCAGCGGUAAAAGCCCGGGGCUCAACCCCGGCGAGCCGUUGAAACUGGCUGUCUUGAGAUGUCGAGAGGG
rnacentral:rRNA from 1 species